AACGAACGCUGGCGGCAUGCCUAACACAUGCAAGUCGAACGAGACCUUCGGGUCUUGUGGCGCACGGGUGCGUAACGCGUGGUAACCUGCCCUUAGGUUCGGAAUAACUCCCCGUAAGGUGUGCUAAUACCGGUUAAUGUCUUCGGACCAAAGAUUUCUCGCCUUUGGAUGGGCCCGCGUUGGAUUAGCUAGUUGGUAGGGUAAAAGCCUAUCAUGGCGAGGUUCCAUAGCUGGUCUGAGAGGAUGAUCAGCCACACUGGAAAUGAGACACGGACCAGACUCGUACGGAAGGGAGGAGUGGGGAAUAUUGGACAAGGGGCGAAAGCGUGAUAAAGCAAUGCCGGGGGAGAGAUGAAGGGCUUAGGGUUGUAAAGCUGUUUUAGACGGGAUGAUAAUGACAGUACCGGGAGAAUAAGCACCGGCUAACUACGUG
rnacentral:rRNA from 1 species